rnacentral:rRNA from 1 species
AAAACAACCCUACGGGAGGCAGCAGUGGGGAAUCUUGCGCAAUGGGCGAAAGCCUGACGCAGCCAUGCCGCGUGAAUGAUGAAGGUCUUAGGAUUGUAAAAUUCUUUCACCGGGGACGAUAAUGACGGUACCCGGAGAAGAAGCCCCGGCUAACUUCGUGCCAGCAGCCGCGGUAAUACGAAGGGGCUAGCGUUGCUCGGAAUUACUGGGCGUAAAGGGAGCGUAGGCGGAUAGUUCAGUCAGAGGUGAAAGCCCAGGGCUCAACCUUGGAAUUGCCUUUGAUACUGGCUGUCUUGAGUAUGGGAGAGGUUAGCGGAACUCCGAGUGUAGAGGUGAAAUU